rnacentral:rRNA from 1 species
AGUGAGGAAUAUUGCGCAAUGGGGGAAACCCUGACGCAGCGACGCCGCGUGAGUGAGGAAGGCCUUCGGGUCGUAAAGCUCUGUCAGAAGGGAAGAAGUGUAAUGUAGCUAAUACCUGCAUUAUUUGACGGUACCUUCAAAGGAAGCACCGGCUAACUCCGUGCCAGCAGCCGCGGUAAUACGGAGGGUGCGAGCGUUGUUCGGAAUCACUGGGCGUAAAGGGCGCGCAGGCGGUUUGUCAAGUCAGAUGUGAAAGCCCACGGCUUAACCGUGGAAGUGCAUUUGAAACUGGCAGACUUGAGUACCAGAGGGGAAGGUGGAAUUCCCGGUGUAGAGGUGAAAUUCGUAGAUAUCGGGAGGAAUACCGGUGGCGAAGGCGACUUUCUGGCUGGAUACUGACGCUGAGGCGCGAAAGCGUGGGGAGCAAACAGGAUUAGAUACCCUGGUAGUCCACGCCGUAAACGAUGUGAACUAGAUGUUGGAGGUAUUGAUCCCUUCGGUGUCGGAGCUAACGCAUUAAGUUCACCGCCUGGGGAGUACGGUCGCAAGAUUA